GAAUAUUCUGUUUAGACGUUCGUAAUGUCUUUACUCUUGUUCGAAAAAUUUUAUGUUAAUUUGUUGAAUAAUGUUUAUGAUAAUCAUAAAUUAAGAUUACUGAAAAUUCAUAAAUAUAACAUGUAAGGAAUAAAAACAAUUUUUUGAAUGAACAAUUACAAUUUUUAAAUGAACAGUUUACAAUUUCUUAGUGAACAGAUUACAAUUUCUUUCACCAACAGGCCAGCACGAGGCCCUCACCUAUAAUUGAAGCUCUACGACUUGUGUAAGGCGGCGUCGACAGCCCGUCUUCUGCCAUUUUUUGAUCAGAAAUCCAGAAAUAAAAAAUCAAAUCUAUCAAGAAACACCAUACUAAAUUAUGCUUGUGGAAAGAGAUGACUAAGAAAAAAUAAUCAAACUCACAAACAACAGAUUUGGAGAAGGCCCAAUUAGACGGCAAGAUCCACACAGACAUGGUCGCAUCUACACCGCCUGCGAGCGACUGCAACAUCCACUCAGUCGUUCACGACGCCGUGCAAUUCUCUGGUGUUCACGGCGUCACGCAAUUCUUCGAUUUCACACCGCGUGAGUUUUGGAGCAGAUGUCAGCAAACGGAGCGACGAUCCAACAUAUUGUUUUACACUACAUCGAUGAGGAGAUGGAGGGUGUUGCCGUACACCGCUGCUAUUGAUAGCGAGGNA
rnacentral:lncRNA from 1 species